UUAAAUGUAAAUCUAUUAAGCUAAGUGAUUAUUAGUUAAGUUCUUUAAAGCUAAAUAAUUUGGCGGUAUUUUAAUCUUUUCAGAGGAACCUGUUCAAUAAUUGAUAAUCCACGAUUGAAAUAACCUAAAUUAGAAAUUUUUAUAUCGUCGUUAUUAAAUAUUUUUUAAGAAUAUAAUAUUUAAAAGUUUUUUAAAAAAAUAAUUCAGAUCAAGGUGAAGUUUAUAUUAAGGAUGAAAUGGGUUACAUUAAAUUUUAUUUAUGGAUUUAAAUUUUGAAAAUAAUUAUGAAACUGGAUUUGAAAGUAAUUAGUUAUACUUUUUUCUAAUGAUUAAGCGCUAAAAUAUGU
rnacentral:rRNA from 1 species